rnacentral:rRNA from 1 species
UACGUAGGCAGCAAGCGUUGUUCGGAAUUACUGGGCGUAAAGCGCGCGUAGGCGGCUUGACAAGUCGAGUGUGAAAUCCCCGGGCUUAACCUGGGAGCUGCAUUCGAAACUGUCUUGCUAGAGUAUGGGAGAGGGAGGUGGAAUUUCAGGUGUAGCGGUGAAAUGCGUAGAUAUCUGAAGGAACAUCAGUGGCGAAAGCGACCUCCUGGACCAAUACUGACGCUCAGGUGCGAAAGCGUGGGGAGCAAACAGG